GUAGGUGGCAAGCGUUGUCCGGGAAUUAUUGGGGCGUAAAGCGCGCGCAGGCGGUUCUUUAAGUCUGAUGUGAAAGCCCACGGGCUCAACCGUGGAGGGUCAUUGGAAACUGGAGAACUUGAGUACAGAAGAGGAAAGCGGAAUUCCACGUGUAGCGGUGAAAUGCGUAGAGAUGUGGAGGAACACCAGUGGCGAAGGCGGCUUUCUGGCCUGUAACUGACGCUGAGGCGCGAAAGCGUGGGGAGCAAACAGGAUUAGAUACCCUGGUAGUCCACGCCGUAAACGAUGAGUGCUAAGUGUUAGGGGGUUUCCGCCCCUUAGUGCUGCAGCUAACGCAUUAAGCACUCCGCCUGGGGAGUACGGCCGCAAAGGCUGA
rnacentral:rRNA from 1 species